AUUGAACGCUGGCGGAAUGCUUUACACAUACAAGUCGAACGGCAGCACGGGGCUACCUGGUGGCGAGUGGCGAACGGGUGAGUAAUACAUCGGAACGUGCCCAGUCGUGGGGGAUAACGUAGCGAAAGUUACGCUAAUACCGCAUACGAUCUAAGGAUGAAAGCGGGGGAUCGCAAGACCUCGCGCGAUUGGAGCAGCCGAUGUCAGAUUAGGUAGUUGGUGGGGUAAAGGCCCACCAAGCCGACGAUCUGUAGCUGGUCUGAGAGGACGACCAGCCACACUGGGACUGAGACACGGCCCAGACUCCUACGGGAGGCAGCAGUGGGGAAUUGUGGACAAUGGGCGCAAGCCUGAUCCAGCCAUUCCGCGUGCAGGAUGAAGGCCUUCGGGUUGUAAACUGCUUUUGUACGGAGCGAAAAGGCUCUCUCUAAUACAGGGGGCUCAUGACGGUACCGUAAGAAUAAGCACCGGCUAACUACGUGCCAGCCGCCGCGGUAA
rnacentral:rRNA from 1 species